AUAAAAGCUUGGACCUUCUGCCUUGCAGGGUAGCUUCCUGUUGCCUGAAAAGAGAACUCGAAGCUUCGGGCAGUGGGGGUGGAGAAGUGAAAUGGGAAUGUGAGGCCCCAGUACUUCUGGAAAUGGAGAGGACACUGGUCCUUCUGAAAAGGAAUGCUCCGCAUUGAGUGGUGUCCCUGCAAAAAAGAGAAGUUAGAAUCUGACAAGGGAUUUAUAUCCUGAAUACAGAGCCAACUCCUACAAGUCAAUGUCAACAACAAAAACAACCUGAU